rnacentral:rRNA from 1 species
AAGCGCAUAUGACCAGACUUGGCCAGGUUAAUCAUCCAUCGUUCUCGGUGGUGCACUUUGCCUGGCCAGGCCAGCAUCAGUUCGCUUUGGGGGAUAAAGACUUUGGGAAUGUGGCUCCCUCGGGAGUGUUAUAGCCCAUUGUGUAAUACCCUGGAGUGGACUGAGGUUCGCGCAUCUGCAAGGAUGCUGGCGUAAUGGUCAUCUGCGA